GGUUGGGCCUGGUUGGAGUAGCUGUCUCAUUGGCUUCUUCCUUCUCUGUGUUUCCUGGCUGCCAUGAGUGAGGCGGAGUGGGCUGCGUCCUGGACACAUUUAAGGCUUGCUUUUGAGACUGUCAAAGCUGGAGAAGAGAGAUCAGCUUCUCCUGAGGACUGCAUACAGAGCACAGCACAGUUCUGAGCCACAUAUUUGUAGGAAAAGCCACAGAUGCCUCAUGUGGAAUAAGAACUUGCCUGUGAUCAGCAGGAAGGCAUUUUCUCCCAGCAGGCUGAAAAUCAAAACUGACAGCAAAGUUUGACAGAACCUCAAGGACUCGAAUGCUCUGCAGAGACCAAGUUCAGAUUUGACCAGCACAACAGAGCGGUGAAGGAAGGCAAGAGUGGCGCGAGCGUGUGUGGGCCUUGCUGGACUUUACCCUUUGGGGGCUGUCAGGUUAUCCUGGGAGAACAGAACAAAACACUUCUUCAUACUUCAGCUCUGGACCAAAAUGAACAAUGUGCUCUGUGGUAUUGAUCGACUAUUUCAACACAGCUCACAAAAGAACAGAGAAGAGCAAAGGGAAAAUGCAGCGGAAGUGAUCUGAAAAGAAUGACAGAUGUCUGUAUUUCCUCGUUAGGCUGUGUCGAUCGUUCACCACCGAGCCUCCACCAGAAAUCUGUGAGCCUGCAGCGGCGCUCAGGGCUGCUAUGUCUCACACGAGCACAAACACUGAGCAGCAAUUCUCUUGACACAGUGCGAGCGUCUUCAGUAUCGUCUCUCCAGCUUCUCAGCGUUCAGGGUUGGCAGGGGGACACGAAGAAACUCCUGUUUAGUCUCAGUGGAUACCAAAAGAUCUGGUUCUCAGAGAAAAGCAGAUUUUGCUAACUGGAGUUCCCCAGAGGAACAGCAUCUCAUGCUUGUCUCUCCUACUUUUGAAUGUAUAGAUUUCCAAUAAUUGUAAGACCAUAAU